AGCGGGGGAUCGCAAGACCUCGCGCGGACGGAGCGGCCGAUGGCAGAUUAGGUAGUUGGUGGGAUAAAAGCUUACCAAGCCGACGAUCUGUAGCUGGUCUGAGAGGACGACCAGCCACACUGGGACUGGGACACGGCCCAGACUCCUACGGGAGGCAGCAGUGGGGAAUUUUGGACAAUGGGCGAAAGCCUGAUCCGGCAAUGCCGCGUGCAGGAUGAAGGCCUUCGGGUUGUAAACUGCUUUUGUACGGAACGAAAAGACUCUGGUUAAUACCUGGGGUUCAUGACGGUACCGUAAGAAUAAGCACCGGCUAACUACGUGCCAGCAGCCGCGGUAAUACGUAGGGUGCAAGCGUUAAUCGGAAUUACUGGGCGUAAAGCGUGCGCAGGCGGUGAUGUAAGACAGAUGUGAAAUCCCCGGGCUCAACCUGGGAACUGCAUUAGUGACUGCAUCGCUGGAGUGCGGCAGAGGGGGAUGGAAUUCCGCGUGUAGCAGUGAAAUGCGUAGAUAUGCGGAGGAACGCCGAUGGCGAAGGCAAUCCCCUGGGCCUGCACUGACGCUCAUGCACGAAAGCGUGGGGAGCAAACAGGAUUAGAUACCCUGGUAGUCCACGCCCUAAACUAUGUCAACUGGUUGUUGGGAAUUCACUUUCUCAGUAACGAAGCUAACGCG
rnacentral:rRNA from 1 species